GCAGGGUGGUGGAGUAGACAAUCUCAAGAGCUCCCUUCCCACCUGAUCCUUUCUGUGAUUCUGUAAUCCAAGGAUGCAGAAGUGCUGUAUGACUGUAAUCUUAAUCUGCAUUACCAGUGGGAAAGAGUUUUGUUUGGCUUGCUUGUUGUUUGUUUGUUGUUCACAAAAUAUGGAUCUAUUUAGUGUCCCCAUAGAACUCCUGGGAAUGGCAGUGGGAGAGGAGCAUGCAUAUUUAUCUGCAGCUGGCAGCAAAAGCCCUGAUCACUUCUUGUCAUACAGCAUAUUCAUGCUUCCAGUCUGAAGUAUUUUCAUCCUUCAGCUGUCUAUGGAUCACCUUACGCGACUACAGCAGCUGCAGAACACCACCUAGUGGUGCUACGCACUCCCUCCAGCUAAUUAAAUACAUGGAACUUCCUUCGUGUCUCUUCCAUUCAGUUUAUUUCUAAAAACUGCAGCCACCACAAGGGGAAAUUCUGGCCCGGUCAGAACUAUCAGGGUCUUUGCACGCUGGACAAUUAAACAUAAUGGUGAAUAUGCCUGACAGGAUGCAGCCAUCGUGGCCCCCCUUCAGCAGCAGAGCUACAGCUUCUCUCUUCAGUCUCCUGAAAGAUUUAAAAUUGAAGCUGAUGAAUUUCAAAUGAGUCCAUCUCUUAUAUUUGUCAUUUUCCAAGACAUUCUUGGCGUGCUUACACAGUAAUGAACCUGUAAUGCUAUUUCAAGCUGAUCCAACAAACCCUCAAGAUUGUGCACUUUGGACCUAACAAAUGUUUAUAUGUUUUCUUCAACAGAUAAUGAGAUAUGGAAAUGGAAAAAAAAAAAAAAAAACUGUUUUCUGAGAUGAUUUUUUCCUAACUUUGGAUAUAAAGUAAAAAGGAAUAGGACUUUUAUUAAACUUAUUUUCAACAGGCA